CACUCCUGCGGGAGGCAGCAGUGGGGAAUUUUGGACAAUGGGCGAAAGCCUGAUCCAGCAAUGCCGCGUGAGUGAAGAAGGCCUUCGGGUUGUAAAGCUCUUUUGUCAGGGAAGAAACGGUGAAAGCUAAUAUCUUUUGCUAAUGACGGUACCUGAAGAAUAAGCACCGGCUAACUACGUGCCAGCAGCCGCGGUAAUACGUAGGGUGCAAGCGUUAAUCGGAAUUACUGGGCGUAACGCGUGCGCAGGCGGUUUUGUAAGUCUGAUGUGAAAUCCCCGGGCUCAACCUGGGAAUUGCAUUGGAGACUGCAAGGCUAGAAUCUGGCAGAGGGGGGUAGAAUUCCACGUGUAGCAGUGAAAUGCGUAGAUAUGUGGAGGAACACCGAUGGCGAAGGCAGCCCCUUGGGUCAAGAUUGACGCUCAUGCACGAAAGCGUGGGGAGCAAACAGGAUUAGAAACCCAGUAGUCCCAUGAU
rnacentral:rRNA from 1 species